UCUGUGUGUUGCAGUGGGACUCACCUGUGAGCAAUGUGGCUAACCAUGGGGUGCCCACAACUGGAGGGAUAUUAUAUACAUUUCUACCCUUUUGGAAUGUUCUGACUUGCAAGGAAAAGUACCUUCCUUGGGAGGGAGAAGAUCCAGCAGCACCCUCAGCUCUUGGCAGAUCACAGAGCUAUGGCAGAAGGAGCACAGUGACAUAAGCAUGGCCCUAGGGGGACUUUCUUAAUCCUCCAUUAAGGUGGCUGUGUGUACUUUGCCAGUGCUAAUGAGUCCGGUCUCACAGCACCGAGGAGACAAGCUGCAGUUACAAACUCGCUCAAAGUGACGGCUUAUUUAUGUGGUCCGGGAGCGUUUG